rnacentral:rRNA from 1 species
GGAAUAUUGGGCAAUGGGCGCAAGCCUGACCCAGCAACGCCGCGUGAAGGAAGAAGGCUUUCGGGUUGUAAACUUCUUUUAUUCGGGACGAAGAAAGUGACGGUACCGAAUGAAUAAGCCACGGCUAACUACGUGCCAGCAGCCGCGGUAAUACGUAGGUGGCAAGCGUUAUCCGGAUUUAUUGGGUUUAAAGGGCGUGUAGGCGGGAAUGCAAGUCAGAUGUGAAAACUCAGGGCUCAACCCUGAGCCUGCAUUUGAAACUGUAUUUCUUGAGUGCUGGAGAGGCAAUCGGAAUUCCGUGUGUAGCGGUGAAAUGCGUAGAUAUACGGAGGAACACCAGUGGCGAAGGCGGAUUGCUGGACAGUAACUGACGCUGAGGCGCGAAGGCCAGGGGAGCGAAAG